UCUAUUCUCCUAUUCCACCAUGUAUAAAGACUACCUGUGAAUUUGAUCUCUAUCAUAUUACAAGAACUUAUACAUUGAGAAAAAUCCAGUGUCUCAUGAUGAGUUAUUGAUAGUCCUCCCCAAUUCUCCUUUUCAUUGAGUGUCACACUAAAGUCUCCACCAACAACCCAUGAAAAACUCAUAUCUUCUGCCAUAACUUCG
rnacentral:lncRNA from 1 species